rnacentral:lncRNA from 1 species
GCUAAUUUCUCAUCACAGAAUGUUAAAGUCUUAUCUUCUCCUCUGUGACUCCAACAACACAAAUAUUUGAUCUUUGGUUAUAGUCCUGCAUGUCCCUGAGCCUCUGUUCAUUUUUUUUAAAAUUUAAGUUUAUUGCACAGCGUUUCUCCUUCUGGAAAGAUAGACAACAAUUUUUUCUAUUUCUCCCACUAAGGAUAACUAAGACCUCUGGACAUAAUACAAACAAGCAUAAGAAAACCCUGAAAGGCCAAGAGAAGAGGUGACCACCUGUAUUCCCAAAGAAUUGCAUGGCCAGCAUGGCAUUGAGUAGCCUGGAUUUUCUUUGUACUUCAAAUAAUUUAAACUGGGUAACAAUAACAGUUUAUCUGGAUCAUAAAAACAAAGAGAAAUCUCCUCACCUAAGUUAUAUGUGCAUUUUUCUGGCAUAAAAUUUGGAAUUCAGUAGCACCUUAUUAAAGUGGUAUCAGGCCAGCUAUGGUGGCCCAUACCUGUAAUUGUAGCACUUUGGGAGGAGGCCAAGGCACAAACUCAGGAGUCUGAGACCAGCCUGGGCAACAUAGCAAAACCCUGUCUUUACAAAAAUAAAAAUAAAAAUUAGCCAAGCGUGAUGGCAUGCACCUGUAGUCCCGGCUGCUUGGUAGGCUGUGGCCAGAGGACUGCUUGAGCCCAGAAGAUUGAGGUUGUGAUGAUCCAGGAUAGUGCCACUGCACUCUAGCCUGGGUGACAAAGCAAGACUCUCAAAACAAACAAACAAAUAAUGAAAAUAAAGUAGUGUCAGAGGAGAUAUAGUGAAGAGUCAUGACAUUCAUCACCACUCAGCAGUGAAGAGGCAACACCCCUUCUCCUGCCCCUGUGUGAAUAGGGGAACAUGGGGAGCAGUAAUGGGGUACUCUUCCUGUCCAGCCAAGGUGGUAUCAGUAGAGAUCUAGUGGGGAGCCUGAACUCCACCCUCAUCCAUCAGUUAUAAGGAACCCUCCCCUCUACAGACCAGGAUUUCAGCAUAGGGCAAGUGGAGAUACUGCACUUUUACUCCCACUUAGCAGCAAUGAAAUGGUUUCAUGCAUGCUUCCCCCAGUGGAGCAGUGUCAGAGAAGGCCUGCUGAAACCCACAAAUAAACGAGGUCCAGAAUCUUAUAACAUAAUACCAAAUAAUCUUGUUUUCAAUUAAAGAAAUCACUUAGCAUAUUAAGAAUUAGGCAGACAUCAAAAUGUAUGAGAAAAGAUGAUAAAUAGAUGGCAUACUGAGAGGACAGCUGUUAAAUGAUUUGACAAAGAUUUUAAAAUAUCCAUGACAAAGUGCUUUAACAAGCAAUUACGGACACAUCUGAAACAAAUAGAAAACAGAAAGUUUCAACAAAAUCUGAAAGUCUUAACAAAGAUAUAGAAUAUAGAGAAUCAAAUGGAAAUUUCAGAAUGAAAAAAUACAUUUAAACACUCAGUGGAUGGACUCAAAAGCAGAAUAGAGAAAACAGAAGGAAGAAUAAGUGUAGUUGAAGAUAAAACAAUAGAAAUUAACCCCUCUGAACAACAGAGAGAAAUAGACUGUAAUAUGUAAAAAAUAUUUACACAUAUUAUCAUUUUCUGCUAAUCUUGCUUAUUUAUUUAUUUAUUUAUUUAUUAACUUUAAAGCAUUUUGAUAUUUUUACUUUGGUUCUAAAUAAAGUAUUCUUUCCCUAAAAAUAGUAUACGUGUUGUAGACCAAACGUCCUAAUACCAUAAUUGAGAUUAAAAAUCUUUGUAUCUGAGCCCUUCUACUCUAUGUUUUGUGACUUUGUCUUCAGAACACUCUUUGUAGAACUCAUAGGCAUAUUUUGAACGUGAUGGUGGCCAAAGUGAACAAUGCUGUUUCCUCUGUCUCAGGCUUUCUUCAGCCUGGAGUUGUCAAGUGAAAAUUCCAGGGUCUCUUUCACAUUCUCUAUUUUACUUUCUCUUCUAAUGCUGUCCAGUAGGUAUCAAGGAAUUACAAGACAUCCUGGUGGACAAUAGCCAGAAUUUCCUCUUUUUUAUGGUGAAAUAUAAAGUUAUAGUUAAAGGGAAUGAGAUUCAGAAUCAGAUAGACAGGGUUGAAAUUCUUCCAUUCCCCAUUCUUAACUGUGUCACACUGAACAAGGUAGUUAAUUGCUUGCUUAUUAUGACCCAGGUUUGCAUAUACAAUAAUAUAAAAGUUCAGCAGCUUGAGAGACUUAUUAGGCAUUAAAUAUAUUUCAGCUUCGCUUUCAUUCCUGGCCAAAAAAAAUGUUAUGAACAAUGUCCCUGUGUGGACUGUGUGUGUGUGUGUGUGUCUGUGUGUGUGUGUGUUUGUAUGGUGUGUGUUCCAUGUAACUCAGGGUACUUAAAAGUUCAGAGUAACUUGUAACAAACCAGUUUAAAGCCAGGCUAAGACAAUAUUUUAUAAAGGAAUGAUUUGUCUAGCUUUCUUGUUCUGAACACAAAAUAAUAUUUUGUUGUAUGACAUAGGUCGGGUCUUCCAAGAUGAUUUUCAGAUCCCUGCAGCAUUGGACUCUGAAGAUUACGGAGCAUUUUGUUAGAAUAACUGAACCCUUAUUCUGAAAUGGGAACUAUACAUAUAGUUUAUAUAGUAUAUAUAUAUAGUUUAUUUAUAUAUAUAGUUUAUAUAUGAUAUAUAUACUUUAUAAACAAAAGGGAUUAUAUAUUAUAUAUAUAAAAUAUAUAUAUAAUAUCUAUAAACUAUAUAUAUAAAACUAUACAGUUAACUUGAGCAAAUCGUAUACAACAAACUAGAACUAUCACGUAGUGCAUGCCAUUACUGUGCUUUCUCCUCAUUUGGAAGCUGAAAUGAUUUCUUACACCUUGUGUCCAAGAUAAUGAGAAAGUAGGGUUUUUUCCACUUCUCCCCACUGCUAUUCGUGUGCUUUACUCAUGGGGACCCUCACUGUAACUGGUAACCAAAAUCAUGACCAAAAGAAUAUUAACUCUUUUAACUCCUCUCAAAAGGUUAAGAUGAAAGAUGGUUUAUACUUCCAAAAAGUGGUGUGUAUUAACCUCCAAGUAAGGAAUUAGUAGUGAUUACACGUGGAGAUGACGUCUCAGUUACCCAGAACCUAUCCAUAUGAAAGCAUUUCUAUUAGGGCACUUCUUUGGAUACCAUCCACGCACAGCAGAAAUGUUCAACUAAAACUUUUGUGUUGAAUCAAACUUGGUUUAUUACAGUAACUCUGACAAGGACUUAACUAUAACAUUUUAAUAGGUUCUACAGUAAAUAAGUCACUAUUACUAUCUUUUUUUUGUUUUGUACUAGCAAAGAUAAUCACUUGUGAUUCCAUGUUGUAACUCACAUGAGGGUUAAUGAUGUGCUGUGGAAAUGCAGUGUGAGUUCACAAUAAGGGUAGCAAAUGGUGGGAAAGUGACUAGGAAGCAUAUGAGGAAAACUAAUAGAAGGAGCACAGCAUUCAUCCCUUUCAGGGGAUGAAGCAACAGGAUGUGAUCUUUGAAGCAGAGGGCAGCACUCACCAGACACUGAAUCUGCUAGUGCCUGGGCAGAUGUCUCUUUGAGAUACUGACUUCCUUUCCUGUCCUAGCCUUUAAAACUGUGACAAAUAAUUUUUUUGUUCUUUAUAAGUUAUCCAGUCUCAAGUGUUUCCUUAAAGCAGCACGAAUAGACUAAGGCAAUUCAACAUUUAAGUGAGAUCAUGCAAUGUUUUUCUUUUUGUCUGACUUAUUUUACUUAGCAUAAUGACCCCCCCACCAGGUUUAUCCGUAUUGUCAUAAAUGAUUUUUACUUGUAUUAUUUUUAUUUACAUAUGCAUACUCGUUUAACAAGACAAAUUGCUCAAGCCAAAAGUGCCAAUAAAUCCUUAAUAGCAAACUACUGGCCUUUAUCUUCAAUGUUCAUGUAACCUAGACUCUUUGUAGUAAUAAACACUUAUGACCUUUAUCUUUCUCCUUAAUACUGUCUUCUCCCUUGGAAUAUGUAGCUGAUUGUAUUUUCCAAAGAUUGUUGCAACAGUAACUCCCAUCUCACUUGCCAUUCUUAUAAUAUGACUUUAUAUUUCUUCUACGGAAAGGUGUAGUCUAUGUCCCUACUUGUGAAAUGCAGAGAGCUACUGUACUUUUCCAGUGGAAGAAAAUCUUUGUGAUUUUAAAUGAGGAAAACAUUUUUUGAUAAGACACUAAAAACAUGAUCCACACUUAAAAAAUGAUAAAACUGACUUUACUGAUACUAAAACUUCUGUUCUUCAAAAGAAACUAUUAAGAGAAUGAAAAUAAAAUCCACAGGAUAGGAGAAAAUAUUUUCCAAUCAUGUAUCUGUGAGGGCAGCCUAAGUAAAAGCUACAGCAGGAAAAAACAGAAGCAAAAUAUUAGGAAAUCCUUCAUAAGUGUAGGGUGAGUUAAUCAUUCAGAAGCUAUUCUCAGAGAACCUGAGGAAAUAUUUAAGGCUAGGGACAAUAUCUUUUCUCUGGAAAAGAUAGCAAGAAGGAGAUAUGUCUUUUCCAAGAUUAAAUACAGGAUUUUGUAACUUGAUUCUCUGAUAUUACCAAAUUAAUUUGAACACUGACACUUCAAGACUAAAGGUCUUUUCACGUCCCUGGGCCUAUCCUGAAUUGCUGGGGAGUCUGGCAGGGUGAUCAGUUGAAUGUACUUAAAAAAGUGCAAGAUGCUAGAAAGAAUUAGCAUCGGGGACAGAGCUGAAAUAACAUGAUCAAAAUAAGAUGAAUAAAGAGACAUUAAAUUUAGGUUCAGUUGUGUGCUUUUAUAGAUCCUCAGUGUACAAAUGUAUGCAUGUUAAAUCUUAGGUAGUACUAAGUGCUUUUAGAGAGCUCUAUUUAAAAUUAUAAAGCUUUAGCCAGUCAUAGUGGUGUGCGCCUAUAAGUCACAGCUUCUCAGGAGGCUGAGGAGGGAGGAUCACUUGAGCCUGGAAGGUAGAGGCUACAGUGAACCGUGAUUGUGUCACUGCACUCCAGCCUGGGCAGCAGAGCAAGACCUGACUCAAAAAUCUAAACAAAUAAAUAAAUAAAAUAAAAUUAUAAAGUUUGAGUGAACCACCAUAUAGAGAAAGAUUUAUGUUUAGAUUAAAAUGAGGAUGAAAUAAACUGACUAGAUCUCCAGCCUCUAUGGCCACCAACAAGGAUCAUUGGUCUACUUGGUGGAAACCCUGAAUCAGCUUCCCAGAUUUGGCUUCACAGUCACCUCUCUUAAGAGGUCUCUCCAGACUGCUUCUUCCCCCACAGUCAACCACUUCCUCCUCUGUGUCUCCAAAGCACUAAUAUACCCCAAGCACACUAUAGGAACCAUCUUCCUUGUGAACUGGCCUGCUUGGCUCCCCCCGACACAUCCAUGAAGUUGUGAUCCUCUAAACAGUCAGGGCAUCUAGCUGUCUUUGUAUCCCUAGUUGGGAAACACAGUAUGUGCACGUGUAAACUAUGUUUUGAAGAAAGGAAGGCAAACUGGCAGGUUAUGGUAAGUUAGUUUAAUCGACUUUGGAGAAAACCUGGUAUGGCCUCAAUAUCAGCCCUCGCCAUUCUGACCAUUCACUCUCAGAAGACACAGGCACUGAAAUUAGGCGGUGGAAGCACUGAAUUGGACUGGGCCACUUUUUCCACUUGCUUGUUAGAAAAAGGGCAUAAUUGUAUUCCAUAACUUCACUCUUCCCCUCUUUCUCAUGAAGAAAACUCUAGAGAAAAGAAAGCUAAUGCUGUGUCUUUCAAACGGGGGAGAAUUUGUAUUUAGUUGAAUCUCAUUGGUAUUUUUAUGGUGGCAUUGCUGCCCUUGGAGGGGCAGUCCUCCCCAGCUA